ACAUUCACGGAAAAAGGUUACUAGAUCUGCCUCUUUCCCAUGCUUGUUCCGCUUUAUGAAAAAUAAAAUUUCUUACAAAUAAUUUUAAGCACACCUCAUACUAAAAAUAAAAUUUAUAACUACGUAUUAUUUAAAAUUAAUAACAUUUCUUUAAAAUGUACAAUCCUUACAAAUUCUUCCCGUACUCUUGCAAAAGAUUUUGUACUAGUAGUAUGGUUCAUUGUUUUCAUUUUCCGAUUAAUCUUAUUUUUUUCAGCAACCUCCUGACAAAAAACAGGAAUUUAUUAGGCAAAUUUAAAGUUAUAAUGAAAGAAAUCAUAUAACGAUUACCCUUGUUUAUUCUUUAUUCCAGUAUGCCACCAAUGCAGCCCACUGUGCAUGAUUCACUUCAGGAGGAGGGUGGCUGCGCUCCUCUUCUGCUCUUUUAGUAUAAUGCUCUUUUUUUUAACUUAUUUCUAUAUUCUUUAUGCGCAUGCUCCGCAACCCUAAGCGUCAUAUGGCAGAUCAUAGGCAUUUUUACUAUAUCUGCAUCUUCAAAAUAAAUAUUUCCCUACAUCCAUAAAAAAAAAAAUCAAGCCAAUCAAUUAUUAGUACAUUCAUUGACUUUUUCUUCUAUUUUCAAGGAAAAAAAAAUAUAUAUACCUUUAUUCUAUUCCACAAAACUUCCUUAACAUCUUCCUUAAUCUUACGCCAAUCCCUCUCCAACGGGAAAUUUCUGUUGUCUCAAACCUCCGCUGCUACAAGUUUUGAAAAAGCACUAGAAUCAUCACUAAUGCAUUUUCCG
rnacentral:lncRNA from 1 species